rnacentral:rRNA from 1 species
UACGUAGGGUGCGAGCGUUAAUCGGAAUUACUGGGCGUAAAGCGUGCGCAGGCGGUUAUAUAAGACAGUUGUGAAAUCCCCGGGCUCAACCUGGGAAUUGCAUCUGUGACUGUAUAGCUAGAGUACGGUAGAGGGGGAUGGAAUUCCGCGUGUAGCAGUGAAAUGCGUAGAUAUGACGGAGGAACACCGAUGGCGAAGGCAAUCCCCUGGACCUGUACUGACGCUCAUGCACGAAAGCGUGGGGAGCAAACAGG